UUUAUCAAGAGCAGCCGAGUGAACAGGCACGUUGAAGCUGCAGCAACCUGCAAUAUGUAAGGUGCUAAUACCUGCGGCUGAGCCGAAUGAUGAG
rnacentral:ncRNA from 1 species